rnacentral:rRNA from 1 species
GACGAACGCUGGCGGCGUGCUUAACACAUGCAAGUCGAACGGAAAGGCCCUGCUUUUGUGGGGUGCUCGAGUGGCGAACGGGUGAGUAACACGUGAGUAACCUGCCCUUGACUUUGGGAUAACUUCAGGAAACUGGGGCUAAUACCGGAUAGGAGCUCCUGCUGCAUGGUGGGGGUUGGAAAGUUUCGGCGGUUGGGGAUAGACUCGCGGCUUAUCAGCUUGUUGGUGGGGUAGUUGCUUACCAAGUCUUUGACGGGUAGCCGGCCUGAGAGGGUGACCGGCCACAAUGGGACUGAGGUACGGCCCAGACUCCUACGGGAGGCAGCAGUGGGGAAUAUUGCACAAUGGGCGGAAGCCUGAUGCAGCAGCGCCGCGUGCGGGAUGACGGCCUUCGGGUUGUAAACCGCUUUCGCCGGUGACGAAGCGUUAGUGACGGUAAUGGGUAAAGAAGCACCGGCUAACUACGUG